rnacentral:rRNA from 1 species
UCCGGAGGGUGCAAUCGUUAUCCGGAAUCACUGGGUUUAAAGGGUGCGUAGGCGGCUUUGUAAGUCAGAGGUGAAAGCCCGCAGCUUAACUGCGGAACUGCCUUUGAUACUGUAGAGCUUGAAAGAGGUUGAGGUCAGCGGAACGUGACAUGUAGCGGUGAAAUGCAUAGAUAUGUCACAGAACACCAAUUGCGAAGGCAGCUGGCUGGGCCUACUUUGACGCUGAGGCACGAAAGCGUGGGGAGAGAACAGG